UACCGGCAGCCCAAGUGAUGGCCGAUCUUAUUGGGCCUAAAGCGUCCGUAGCGGGCCGCACAAGUCCAUCGGGAAAUCCACCCGCCCAACGGGUGGCCGUCCGGUGGAAACUGUGUGGCUUGGGACCGGAAGGCGCGACGGGUACGUCCGGGGUAGGAGUGAAAUCCCGUAAUCCUGGACGGACCGCCGAUGGCGAAAGCACGUCGCGAAAACGGAGCCGACAGUGAGGGACGAAAGAUAGGGUCUCGAACCGG
rnacentral:rRNA from 1 species